rnacentral:rRNA from 1 species
GUGAAGAAUAUUGGUCAAUGGGCGGGAGCCUGAACCAGCCAAGUCGCGUGAAGGAAGAAGGAUCUAUGGUUCGUAAACUUCUUUUGCAGGGGAAUAAAGUGCAGGACGUGUCCUGUUUUGUAUGUACCCUGAGAAUAAGGAUCGGCUAACUCCGUGCCAGCAGCCGCGGUAAUACGGAGGAUCCGAGCGUUAUCCGGAUUUAUUGGGUUUAAAGGGUGCGUAGGUGGUUUGAUAAGUCAGCGGUGAAAGUUUGCAGCUUAACUGUAAAAAUGCCGUUGAAACUGUCGGACUUGAGUGUAAAUGAGGUAGGCGGAAUGCGUGGUGUAGCGGUGAAAUGCAUAGAUAUCACGCAGAACUCCGAUUGCGAAGGCAGCUUACUAAGCUACAACUGACACUGAAGCACGAAAGCGUGGGGAUCAAACAGGAUUAGAUACCCGGGUAGUCC